GACGAACGCUGGCGGCGUGCCUAAUACAUGCCAGUCGAACGCACAGUUUAUACCGUAGCUUGCUACACCAUAGACUGUGAGUUGCGAACGGGUGAGUAACGCGUAGGUAACCUGCCUGGUAGCGGGGGAUAACUAUUGGAAACGAUAGCUAAUACCGCAUAAUAUUAAUUAUUGCAUGAUAAUUAAUUGAAUGGUGCAAUUGCACAACUACCAGAUGGCCCUGCGUUGUAUUAGCUAGUAGGCGAGGUAACGGCGCACCUAGGCGACGAUACAGAGCCGAACUGGGAGGGGGAUCGGCCCAACCGGGACUGAGAAACGGCCCAGAACCCUACGGGAGGCAGCCGGAGGGAAUCCUCGGGAAUGGACGAAAGGCUUAACGAGCAACGCCGCGUGAGUGAAGAAGGGUUUCGGGUCGUAAAGCUCUGUUGUAAGGGAAGAAAGGGUGUGAGAGUGGAAAGUUCACACUGUGACGGUAUCUUACCAGAAAGGGACGGCUAACUACGUG
rnacentral:rRNA from 1 species